rnacentral:rRNA from 1 species
AGUUUGAUCAUGGCUCAGAGCGAACGCUGGCGGCAGGCCUAAUACAUGCAAGUCGAACGGUCUCUUCGGAGGCAGUGGCGGACGGGUGAGUAACGCGUGGGAAUAUGCCCUUGGUACGGAACAACUGAGGGAAACUUCAGCUAAUACCGUAUGUGCCCUUCGGGGGGAAAGAUUUAUCGCCAUUGGAGUAGCCCGCGUUGGAUUAGGUAGUUGGUGGGGUAAAGGCCUACCAAGCCCACGAUCCAUAGCUGGUCUGAGAGGAUGAUCAGCCACACUGGGACUGAGACACGGCCCAGACUCCUACGGGAGGCAGCAGUAGGGAAUCUUGCGCAAUGGGCGAAAGCCUGACGCAGCCAUGCCGCGUGAAUGAUGAAGGUCUUAGGAUUGUAAAAUUCUUUCACCGGGGAAGAUAGUGACGGUACCCGGAGAAGAAGCCCCGGCUAACUUCGUG